rnacentral:rRNA from 1 species
GUUAGGAAUAUUGGACAAUGGGCGCAAGCCUGAUCCAGCCAUGCCGCGUGAGUGAUGAAGGCCUUCGGGUUGUAAAGCUCUUUAGCCGAUGAUUAUAAUGACUGUAGUCGGAAAAUAAGCCCCGGCUAACUUCGUGCCAGCAGCCGCGGUAAUACGAAGGGGGCGAGCGUUAUUCGGAAUCACUGGGCGUAAAGCGUGCGUAGGCGGCUUUGCAAGUUGGGAGUGAAAGCCCAGGGCUCAACCCUGGAAUUGCUCUCAAAACUGCAAGGCUCGAAUUCGGGAGAGGAUAGCGGAAUUGUCAGUGUAGCAGUGAAAUGCGUAGAUAUUGACAGGAACACCAGUGGCGUAAGCGGCUAUCUGGACCGAUAUUGACGCUGAGGCACGAAAGCGUGGGGAUCAAACAGGAUUAGAUACCCGUGUAGUCC